AGAAUGACUCAAGUAAAAGUCAAAGUCACCAAGUAAUAUACUACUUCAGUAAAAGUAUUUGGUUUUAAAUAUACGUAACUAUCAAAAGCACAUGUACUGACUAAAAUAUACCACAAGUAAAAGUAUCAAAAGUAAAAGUAUAAAUAAUUAAAUGCCUUAUAUUAAGCAAACCAGACGACAACAUUUUAUUUGUAUUUUGUAUUUACAGAUAGCCAGGGGCUCCAACACCAAGACAUCAUUUACAGAUAGCCAGGGGCUCCAACACUAAGACAUCAUUUACAGAUAGCCACGGGCUCCAACACUAAGACAUCAUUUACAGAUAGCCAGGGGCUCCAACACUAAGACAUCAUUUACAGAUAGCCAGGGGCUCCAACACUAAGACAUCAUUUACAGAUAGCCAGGGGCUCCAACACUAAGACAUCAUUUACAGAUAGCCAGGGGCUCCAACACUAAGACAUCAUUUACAGAUAGCCAGGGGCUCCAACACUAAGACAUAAUUUACAGAUAGCCAGGGGCUCCAACACUAAGACAUAAUUUAUAGAUAGCCAGGGGCGCCAACACUAAGACAUCAUUUACAGAUAGCCAGGGGCUCCAACACUAAGACAUCAUUUACAGAUAGCCAGGGGCUCCAACACCAAGACAUCAUUUACAGGCAGCCAGGGGCUCCAACACUAAGACAUCAUUUACAGAUAGCCACGGGCUCCAACACUAAGACAUCAUUUACAGAUAGCCAGGGGCUCCAACACUAAGACAUCAUUUACAGAUAGCCACGGGCUCCAACACUAANNNNNNNNNNNNNNNNNNNNNNNNNNNNNNNNNNNNNNNNNNNNNNNNAUUUACAGAUAGCCAGGGGCUCCAACACUAAGACAUCAUUUACAGAUAGCCAGGGGCUCCAACACUAAGACAUCAUUUACAGAUAGCCAGGGGCUCCAACACUAAGACAUCAUUUACAGAUAGCCAGGGGCUCCAACACUAAGACAUCAUUUACAGAUAGCCAGGGGCUCCAACACUAAGACAUCAUUUACAGAUAGCCAGGGGCUCCAACACUAAGACAUCAUUUACAGAUAGCUAGGGGCUCCAACACUAAGACAUCAUUUACAGACAGCCAGGGGCUCCAACACUAAGACAUCAUUUACAGAUAGCCAGGGGCUCCAACACUAAGACAUCAUUUACAGAUAGCCAGGGGCUCCAACACUAAGACAUCAUUUACAGAUAGCCAGGGGCUCCAACACUAAGACAUCAUUUACAGAUAGCCACGGGCUCCAACACUAAGACAUCAUUUACAGAUAGCCAGGGGCUCCAACACUAAGACAUCAUUUACAGAUAGCCACGGGCUCCAACACUAAGACAUCAUUUACAGAGAGCCAGGGGCUCCAACACUAAGACAUCAUUUACAGAUAGCCAGGGGCUCCAACACUAAGACAUCAUUUACAGAUAGCCAGGGGCUCCAACACUAAGACAUCAUUUACAGAUAGCUAGGGGCUCCAACACUAAGACAUCAUUUACAGAUAGCCAGGGGCUCCAACACUAAGACAUCAUUUACAGAUAGCCAGGGGCUCCAACACUAAGACAUCAUUUACAGAUAGCCAGGGGCUCCAACACU
rnacentral:lncRNA from 13 species